GGGAGCGCAUGGGUCCUGGUGGGCUCCGAGGACUUCAAAUCCUUUGUCGGGCACUCGCGUGUCCGGGGUGGGUUCGAUUCCCACACGUUCCCGCCA
rnacentral:tRNA from 1 species